rnacentral:rRNA from 1 species
GACGAACGCUGGCGGCGUGCUUAACACAUGCAAGUCGAACGGAAAGGCCCUGCUUGCCGGGUGCUCGAGUGGCGAACGGGUGAGUAACACGUGGGUGAUCUGCCCCUUACUUUGGGAUAAGCCUGGGAAACUGGGUCUAAUACUGGAUAGGACCAUGCUGUAGGUGGUGUGGUGGAAAGAUUAGUUUCGGUAAGGGAUGAGCUCGCGGCCUAUCAGCUUGUUGGUGGGGUAAUGGCCUACCAAGGCGUCGACGGGUAGCCGGCCUGAGAGGGUGGACGGCCACAUUGGGACUGAGAUACGGCCUAGACUCCUACGGGAGGCAGCAGUGGGGAAUAUUGCACAAUGGGCGCAAGCCUGAUGCAGCGACGCCGCGUGGGGGAUGACGGCCUUCGGGUUGUAAACUCCUUUCAGCCAUGACGAAGCCCUUGUGGUGACGGUAGUGGUAGAAGAAGCACCGGCUAACUACGUG